rnacentral:rRNA from 1 species
GACGAACGCUGGCGGCGUGCCUAAUACAUGCAAGUCGAGCGAAGUUUUUCUGGUGCUUGCACUAGAAAAACUUAGCGGCGAGCGGGUGAGUAACACGUAAAGAACCUGCCUCAUAGACUGGGACAACUAUUGGAAACGAUAGCUAAUACCGGAUAACAGUAUUUCUCGCAUGAGAGAUAUUUAAAAGUUGGUUAUGCUAACACUAUGAGAUGGCUUUGCGGUGCAUUAGCUAGUUGGUGGGGUAAAGGCCCACCAAGGCGACGAUGCAUAGCCGACCUGAGAGGGUGAUCGGCCACACUGGGACUGAGACACGGCCCAGACUCCUACGGGAGGCAGCAGUAGGGAAUCUUCCGCAAUGGGCGAAAGCCUGACGGAGCAACGCCGCGUGAGUGAAGAAGGAUUUCGGUUCGUAAAGCUCUGUUGUUAGGGAAGAAUGGAUAUGUAGUAACUAUACAUGUAAGAGACGGUACCUAACCAGAAAGCCACGGCUAACUACGUG